rnacentral:lncRNA from 1 species
UAUCCCCAGGAGAUCAAGCUCUGUCUCAUACUCUUCACAAACGUCGAUUCUCCCGGAUGCCGCCGAUGACUUCACCGUGGGAGACUGUCUCGUCUACGAGGACGGCGUCUUCGAAGACCCUUACCUCGAGGAGGAGGUCAGUCUCGAAGCGGUCAAAGAGCGGAAGAUUCCGAAGCGGCGGGGCAGGGGAAAGAGAAUAGUUCAAGCGGCGGCGGCGGCGGAGAUCGAGCCGGAGAACCUCGUGCCGGAUGAGUGGAGGGAUGUUCAGGCGGAGGUGAACCUGACGAAGAAGGACAAGAGGAAAAUAGCGCAGGAGCUGGAGUUCGGAGUGAGUGUGGAGAAGAAGAGGCAAGGGCUGAUUCCGCUGAGGAAGGUGGAUUUGAAGGAGUAUUUAACGUACAAGGAAGCCAAGCUGGAUCAGUUGAAACCUGUUGUUCUCGAUAAACCGACGACGUUUGAUGGAGAGGGAGGAGAGAGGGGUGAAGAAACGUAUUCGAGUGAGCGAGUAGCACCGAAGAACCCUAGAUGGGCGGUUUAUGGAAAAGGAUUCGAACAAGUCACCAAGUUCUUCAAUAGCGAUAAGUAUGAUCCCAGUGGCAAGAAGCUCGACGGCCCUCGGAAGCUGCUUUCUAAAGAAGAGAAGUUUAUGCUCAAUAGCCGAAAUCCUCACCUAGCUGUUGCCACCUCAGUAAGUGAUUUUUUCUUUUUUUUUUACUAUUUGAUUUUUGAGUUCUGUUUUAAGUUUGAACCAGCAGUAACCUAAUGUUGGUUGUGUUUUUCAGAAAAAGUGGCUUCCUCUUCACACACUGGCAGCUUCGGGAGAAUUUUAUCUGGUUGACUCCUUGCUUAAGCACAAUCUUGAUAUCAAUGCAACGGACGUGGUAUGUGGAUUUUUAUCUGAAUCUUUUGCUCUUUUUGUAUAUAAUCUAGUAGUGUUUUUUUUAAUAUAAUUUGUAUAUGGAAUCUAGGGCGGCUUGACAGCACUUCACCGAGCAAUAAUAGGUAAAAAACAGGCGAUUACAAACUACCUGCUGAGGGAAUCGGCAAACCCGUUUGUUCUUGAUGAUGUAAGUGGUCGGUCACCUUGUAAUAAUCUCUCUCCCUUGCUUCAGAUGCUGCUGCGAUCUGACUAGUUCGUUUAUGUGUUAGGAAGGUGCGACUUUGAUGCACUAUGCUGUGCAGACAGCAUCAGCUCCCACAAUAAAACUUCUCCUGCUGUAUAACGCUGACAUAAACGCGCAAGACAGGGUAAUGAUGUUAAAACAUUCUUAUAUUAGCGAAUCUGUCAGCUGGUUGGUUAACACAUUGUUUUUUCUUUUAAAUUUCAGGACGGGUGGACGCCCCUGCACGUUGCAGUACAGGCCAGAAGAAGCGACAUCGUGAAACUUCUUUUGAUAAAAGGGGCUGACAUACAAGUGAAGAACAAGGCUAGUUCCAUCACCUUCCCACUAGUCCGCUUUUGUAUUAUUAUUAUUAUUAUUAUGAUUCUGAUGAUGCUGUUUUUUUGUACUAAUCGGCUAGUUCCAUCACCUUCCCACUAGUCCGCUUUUGUAUUAUUAUCGUUAUUAUGAUUCUGAUGAUGCCGUUUUUUUUUGACUAAUUCCAACAGGAUGGGUUAACUCCGCUGGGCCUUUGCCUCUACCUUGGAAGAGAGACAAGGACGUAUGAAGUGUUGAAAAUGUUGAAAGAGUUUCCCCGUAGUAGACUCAAGAGAUUGGUAACGGAUUAAGCUUUACUGGACCACGCUCUCACAUUUUGGUCGGUGUUUUUCUUUUGCGUUUGUUUUCGCACCGGAAAUUAACAAAGCCGAAAUCAUAUUUACCCAAAAGAAUAUUACUACCUGUAUAAUAUGUAUAAUAUUAAUACUAGAUUUUGAUCCAGGCUUUCAAAACGCAUAAUUUUUUGUUGUUGAAUUAACCCAUCUGGUUUUUCUCUAAUAUGUUUAUACAUAGAUGUUUGAUGUUCAGUUCAGUUCAAUCUCGAUUUUGGUUUAGUUCUAGUUUGGUUGUGGUUAUCUGUUUCUCUAGUUCAAGAGAUAUAAAAACUGUUUAGUUAUUUUUGAAUGUGGGUUUGAUUUCAAUUUGGUUAUUUUGGCUUUCAGUUUGGUUUGAACAACAAUGUUAGAAACCCAAUAAAUUUUUUAGUUCAGUUCUUAUGAAAAAUGCAGGUAAAAAAAACUCUUUUUUAAAAAAGUUUUUUUUAUAAAAUAUCAGAUAAUUUGGAUAAAUUUAAAUAUUUUGAAAUAUAACAUUUGGGUGAUUUGUGUUAAUAGAGAAUUUAGGCUAAUUUUGAAUAUUCUUGAAUACCAAAUAAAAAUCAUUUAAAUCUCUAACAAAUCAAUUGUUAUAUUAGGUGAAAAUUACUAAUGAAAUAAUCUAAAUCUAGAUUUUGACCAGCACGUCCGUGCAGAUAUUUUAUUCAGUUAUAGAUGUUUAAAUAAGGGUGGAACAUAUCAGAUUUGGAUUCGACGGAUCCGUAGAUUAGUAUCUAGAUUAUUCGGAAAAAUAAUUAAAAAAAUUAAAAUACUAAUUUUUUUUAAAAAAUACAUACAUUAAAUAUUUAUACAACAUUAUCAAUAUAUAUUUAUAAGUAUAUAAUAUUAGAAAUUGAAAUAUAAUUUUAUAAAAAUAAUUUUAUGUAUAAAUAAAAUAUAUCAAAUAUAAUGAUUAGUAAAAUUUCAAAAUUAAUAUAUUUUAAAAUACGGAUCUUGAUCCGUAUAUCCAGAUCUAAAAAUCAAGAUACUCAUAUUCAGAUUCAGUUUUGGCGGAUCCAAGAUUUUACUAUUCGAAUCUGAAUUCAGACACCUCUGGUAUCAUAUUUUCAGAGUGGAUCUAAGAUCGAAUCCGACCUUAGAUAAUAAGUCUCAUGCCUAGUUUAAAACAUUUUAGAAAGGCCUAUUUUUAGGUUUUUAACAUUUUAGAAUGACCUCAACUUGUUUUUUCAUAUUUAGCUACUAAAUUUAUCUUUUAAUGAGAUUUUAAUAUCCAUAUCCGGAUUCAGAUGUUCCAGAUAUCCUAUUUUCAAAACGGAUCUCAGAUCGAGUCCAAAUUCUGAAUAAUAAGUCUCCUGUAUUGUUUUAAACAUUUUAGAAUGAUUCUAUUUUUAUGUUUUUAACAUUUUAGAACGACCUCAACUAGUUUGUUCAUGUUUAGCUACUGAAUUUAUUUUUUAAUGAAAUUGUUUUUUUCUACGACUGUGUGUUAAGUAAUCAUUUUAUUUUGUCAAAUAUUCUCUAUGUUUCAUAAUAAGUGUCAUUAUAACAUUUUUUAUUGUUAUGCAAAAAGUGUCACUUUAGAAUUUCAAUGUAAAUAAAUAUAUUUACUUUCAGCUGAAAAUUAAUUGCAAACUGCAUUGAUUUUAUAAAUAAUUUUAUUUAACUCAAAUAUUAUUGGUCAAAUGUGUGUAAUUAAUAACAAUUUUAAUACAUUUCAAUCAAUUUUUUAAUCUGUGUGAAAAAUGUCAAAGUGACACUUAUUAAAAAACGAAGGGAAUAUAACAAUAAAAUGCAGCAUAUUUGAGUUUUAAAUUACCUUUUAUUAUAUUAAAUCUAGAUAUGGUUAUUUAAAUUUGAAAUUUAUAUAUAAAGAUCAAAUUUUAUUUUUAUUAUAUUCGAAAUUAUUUUAUUAAAAAUUUUAUAUAUGAUUUAAAACAAUAUUAUUUGUUGGUAUAUGUUUUGAUAGAUUAUAUUUAUGUAUACAUUUGUUGCCAAUUUAGAUAGUUUGUGUGUGUAUGAAUGUGAUAAAAUUGUAAUAAUACAUAAAUAAAUUUUAGAAUUGUUUUGAUAAUUAGUCACCCCAACAAAAGAGAUAUUGUCGUAUAUGAUAAUAUACAUAUGAUGUCGGUUAAAAUUUUAAAACAAUCUCUCUUCACUCUCUGUUCUCUCUCUAGUAUCUCUCACAGAGAGGAAGAGAAGAGAUGAUAUCCCUUUUGUUUUUUGGUUUAUGAUCAUUAGAUCAGAGUUAUGUUCGGCUUGUCCGAGUAAAUAUUCCGGUUAGCGGAUUUCUUGUUUUCGCUAUGGCGAUUUUGUUGUGUUCUUCGAUCCGCAACAGAGUUGCUUCAAUUCGUCUUUUUUUUUCUCUGUUUUGUUGGAUCGAUUAAUAAAAUUUCGAGUCAGAGUUUCACUUCUCACUUCGUUCUUAAUUCUAUCCCGUAAAUACCAUCUCAGACACUUGCUUCACUGUCACUUUAACUGUUUUUUAGGAGAAUCAAUCUUCACUUUGUCUUUGCCAUCUAUGGUGUAUUGUGAAGCUUCUUCGAUUGAAAGAAAGUUAGGUAAGAUGGAAUUUUUUGGUCAUCUUUGGAGUAGAUUCAGCAGAGCCGGUGUUAUUUGUAACGGUCCGGCAUAGAGUCUUCCUUCAAUUUCGACUGAAGCUUCCUCAAGCUCAAUCUGGUGAAGCAAACUCCCUCUGCUUUGGUAGUUUACGGUUUAAGUGGAAAGUAUCUCAGGAUUUACAAGCAUAGAUCAUUGAACCGGCGGUGGUAGCUUGUUCUGAUGAGAACUUACGGCGGCGCACUAACACUGGAUCCUCAUCUUGGGCGGAGGCGUGUUACGAAAUUGGAGACGUGGCGAGUUUCUGACCUAGGACACUCAUGCAAGAGCGUUUGAUUACGCGUGUCUCUUAUUGCUUCUGCAGUCAACGCACGUUCCUUAAUACGACACUUUCUCGAAGAUAUUGAUCCAAAUCAAUAUAAUGGAUUGGGGAUUUGAGCUUUAAUUUUAAUUCGAGAUUGUAAAUGAUGGGGAUUGGUUUUAUGAUGUAUUGCUUGUAACUUUGUCCAUUGGGCCAAAGAAAUGAAAUCUAAAGUCGACAAAAAAAAAAAACAUAUGAUGUCGUUUGUAGGAAUUUGGACCCAUCAUUAAAGCCCACCAAAAUGAUUGCCGUUAACUAUAAUGUCCUAAUUUUAUUACCUUCGCCAGUUCGCUGGUUUUAUAAAUUUUAAAACGACAUUUUACAACCCAGUAGCAGUUUAUAGUAAAUAUUUAGAAAAAGACAAGGUAAAAUUUGUUUCGUACUUCUGUUUUAAUAGUUUAGAUUAAAUGUAUUUUUUAUAUAACUCAAAUCAAUCAAUAUAUAAUAUCACAUGAUAUCUUUUGGAAGUGGAGUUGAGUUGUUUUCCCAUAUGUGCCUUUAACAUCAGAGAGCUUACGCAAAUCAUCAAACUUGAGGAUUUUUGUGUCACCACAUAUGGUUCCUACAAUCAAAACUUUCUUGAUGGUUCAAUGACAUAAAUUUCAUAAGACCAAAAUCCAUAAUAAGAUGCUAUGAAACCGAAGUCUAACUACCUCUUGAUCGCUUUCAUCCUCUUUCUUAGAUGUUCCAGUUCCACAAAGCCAUUCAACAGAUUUUUUUUAUUUAUAUCCCUCCCUUACUUAAAAACUGUCGUUUUUGAUUCUUGAUGAUAUUUUCUCUGAUCGAUGGGAUUGUCUUAGAGAAAAAGGAUCUUUAAUGAUGUUUAGGCCAUAAGUUUUAUGCCAUGACUGCAACAUUUUCUUCGGAAGAACUAUUUCAGAUAUAUUCCAAUAGAUUAACGGAAAAGAGAGCGAGGUGAAGAGGGCAGAAGAAAAAGGGUUGUGAUGUAUAAUUAGGGUAUUGUUAGUUUUAAAUGUUUAGUUUUUUUUUUUUUUUUUUUUUUUUUUUUUUUUUAAAAAAGAAAUAAACAUACCUCAAUAAUUAGAUCAAAUCUUGUACUCGUGUACACGCAACCACUUUGUGGAUGACCACUUGUUCCCUUUGAUUACAGCACAUCCACCUGCACAAAGUGGAUCAAAUAACUAAUAUCAUAAAAUCCACUGUAGGACAAACACAGCUCCCAAUCCAUCUAAAACUUAUCUAUAUCUACUGACCGUGAAGACUAGAUGGGUCUAGAGUGGCGUCAGGUGUCAUGCUCCAGAAAAGCAAUGCAUCUCCCAUCUUUGGUUUCACGGACAGCCCUCCUUUCCCGCACUCUGACAGCUCAUUCCACCACGGCACUGCGCUAUAGUUUCCCUUGGCUGAGGGAAACACUGUCUCACCCCCCUCCUCUACAUCUGACCUGCACAGUAGCUAAACAGCGUUAAAAAAAAAAGAAAAAAGAAAAAGAACACAACAGCAACAUCUUGUUGGAGUCCAAAGUCUAUUCAGUUACAUACAGGUACAUGAGAACAGUGGCAAUCCGCUGCCCUCCGUUCCUAGUGUUAUACUCAUCCAUAAAGUAGUCAUAGUGAGGCUCGUACUUUUGCCCUAUUUCAUAGUGCAGAACUUGAAGACCUUCCCCAUGCUCUGCACAUUGUAAGAACCAGUCAAGCAUAUGCUCCACAAAGAGCUGACCCUAAGGAGAAAUGGGAUUUUAAGAAAAGGUAAAAAUAAUAAAGUCUUUCAAGCACAUACCAACUGGUAUGAAGGUAAAAUCUGAUAUCCUUUUCUCGAUUUGACGGAUGAUUUUGUCGCGUCCUCUUGGAAGAAAAGUCCCAGAGCUCGUUCUCACCCUAUUGAGGAGAAGUGGAUGUCAGUAAAAGAGAGGAGGAAAGAAGCCUACUGAUGAUUCACUUGAUAGUUGAAGGAAGACCUGCUAUCUGUGCUCUUUCCAGUCUUCUGAUCGACAACAGUUGACUUCUCCAUAUGCGGUUUAGCUAGCUCUAUUAGAUACUUGCAUUCCUCCUUCGUCUAUCGUGAAUAAUAAUUAACACACGUCCCUAGUCAGUUAGCACACACUAACAACAACUAAUGAAAAUCACUUCCCUAGUUUUACUUUUUCUUUCAAAUCACAGCUAGUGAUCAUAAUAUCACCUACUCUACGGAAUCAAUUGUUGAUAUCUACUGAAAAAAAACAGAUUCGCUCACCAAGAAAUUGUGGUAAAUAGAAGCUCUGGGUUCCCAAGAUAUAAUUUCAACCCAACGCUCAUUCUCCGAAGCAUCUUUGCCGCUUCUGCGGAAUAAAAAGAAUACCAAAGAUGAUGAUAAAUAAACACGCCAGAUCUUAUAUUUGAAUCGGGAUUUUUUUUGGUACCUCUGAAGGUUUUUACGGACAAUGGAAGUGAGAUCAUUGGCCUUGGAUGACCCGCCAUUGUUGCUGGGCAGCGAGAGAAUUCCAAGCGCGAGAAGGAACAAAAUCACGAAAGUGAACAUAAUCAACACCGCGAAGACGAGGGUUGAGUACGACGUUUUCCGACGGUGAUGAUUCCUCUGUCGCGCCAUCAUUUUUGCAAAGGAUCGAUUUCUCAGAUCCGAAAGAAGCAGAGAGGAGCAGCAGUAAGCAAAUCCUCUGCGUAGGAGAGAUUAAACAAACAAACCGGAUGACGGAAGAGGCUUUACAUAGACGGGCCUCAGGCCCAUUUAAUUAGGCCCAAUAAGGGAAGGUGCUUUUCGAAUGAAUGGCAAAAAUAAUCGUCUUCAUCCCCAGAGAGAGAAUCCGAUAAGGCGAGAGAGAGAGAGAGAGAGAAUGCAGCUCGCCACCACCAUUUCUCUACUCCUGCCAUCUCCAUCUCGACUCUCUCCUUCUCUUCAGUCGCUGACUAUCCCCAGGAGAUCAAGCUCUGUCUCAUACUCUUCACAAACGUCGAUUCUCCCGGAUGCCGCCGAUGACUUCACCGUGGGAGACUGUCUCGUCUACGAGGACGGCGUCUUCGAAGACCCUUACCUCGAGGAGGAGGUCAGUCUCGAAGCGGUCAAAGAGCGGAAGAGUCCGAGGCGGCGGGGCAGGGGAAAGAGAAUAGUUCAAGCGGCGGCGGCGGCGGAGAUCGAGCCGGAGAACCUCGUGCCGGAUGAGUGGAGGGAUGUUCAGGCGGAGGUGAACCUGACGAAGAAGGACAAGAGGAAAAUAGCGCAGGAGCUGGAGUUCGGAGUGAGUGUGGAGAAGAAGAGGCAAGGGCUGAUUCCGCUGAGGAAGGUGGAUUUGAAGGAGUAUUUAACGUACAAGGAAGCCAAGCUGGAUCAGUUGAA